CCGGAACCACUGGAGGGCUCGAAAAGCUUNGGGUAGCCCAAACCAGGANNUUAGAUACCCCUUGGUAGUCCACGCCGUAACGAUGUCUACUAGUCUGGGUUCCCUGAGGACUUAGUGACGCAGCUUAACGCAAUAAGUAGACCGCCUGGGGAGUACGCCGCAAGGUUAAAACUCAAAUGAAUUGACGGGGGCCCGCACAACGGUGGAGCAUGUGGUUUAAUUCGAUGCAACGCGAAGAACCUUACCUGGUCUUGACAUAUCUAGAAUCCUGCAGAGAUGCGGGAGUGCCUUCGGGAAUUAGAAUACAGGUGCUGCAUGGCUGUCGUCAGCUCGUGUCGUGAGAUGUUGGGUUAAGUCCCGCAACGAGCGCAACCCUUGUCCUUAGUUACCAGCGGGUUAAGCCGGGAACUCUAAGGAUACUGCCAGUGACAAACUGGAGGAAGGCGGGGACGACGUCAAGUCAUCAUGGCCCUUACGACCAGGGCUACACACGUGCUACAAUGGUAGGUACAGAGGGCAGCUACACAGCGAUGUGAUGCGAAUCUCAAAAAGCCUAUCGUAGUCCAGAUUGGAGUCUGCAACUCGACUCCAUGAAGUAGGAAUCGCUAGUAAUCGCGGAUCAGAAUGCCGCGGUGAAUACGUUCCCGGGCCUUGUACACACCGCCCGUCACACCAUGGGAGUUGAUUGCACCAGAAGUGGAUAGCCUAACCUUUUAGGAAGGCGUUCACCACGGUGUGGUUGAUGACUGGGGUGAAGUCGUAACCAAGGUAGCCGUAGGGGAACCUGUGGCUGGAUCACCU
rnacentral:rRNA from 1 species